CGUGGGUAACCUGCCCAAGAGAUCGGGAUAACACCUGGAAACAGAUGCUAAUACCGGACAACAACAGAUGAUGCCUAUCAACUGUUUAAAAGAUGGUUCUGCUAUCACUCUUGGAUGGACCUGCGGUGCAUUAGCUAGUUGGUAGGGUAACGGCCUACCAAGGCGAUGAUGCAUAGCCGAGUUGAGAGACUGAUCGGCCACAUUGGGACUGAGACACGGCCCAAACUCCUACGGGAGGCAGCAGUU
rnacentral:rRNA from 1 species